rnacentral:rRNA from 1 species
UACGAAGGGGGCUAGCGUUGUUCGGAAUUACUGGGCGUAAAGCGCACGUAGGCGGAUAUUUAAGUCAGGGGUGAAAUCCCGGGGCUCAACCCCGGAACUGCCUUUGAUACUGGGUAUCUUGAGUGUGGUAGAGGUGAGUGGAAUUGCGAGUGUAGAGGUGAAAUUCGUAGAUAUUCGCAAGAACACCAGUGGCGAAGGCGGCUCACUGGCCCGGUACUGACGCUGAGGUGCGAAAAGCGUGGGGGAGUAAACAGG